GAUCGGGGACUGCUGCUUCCCGAGCUGCGUCCCACGAGUCCAGCCUACUUUGUCCUGCCGCUGCCCUUCCAGGAGCAAGCGCCCCAGGCGCGUGGGUCUACACAAAAGCCCCCCAACAUCUGGCCCGCCUCUGCGCCCUCUCCUCCCCGGAGGUGCCCCGUGGCCGCAGAGGGGCGCGCGAGGGCAACUUCUGGGGGUGGGGAAGGCGCUAGACUAGGGGCUUGCGAGAGGACCAUCGGGGUGUGUGAGGCGUGGGGCCGCCCCGCCGCGCUCGGCACUCCUCUCCCCGGGACCCCUGUGGCACCCCUACUUACCAUCCAAAAGAUACCCCAAUACGCCAGGAGGCAGCCCCCCUUUCCUGCUUCCCAAGCUCCGGGUGCAGCCGCCCUGGGGGCGCAGACAUCCCUUCGCCCCCCUCUCGCCGCCCAGAACCCGGGAGGGGCAGAGCAGAGAAACAAACCGAAACUCACAGACCUCUCUCCGCAGCGGGCUCGGGUGCUCCCUACAGAGGCGGCGGCAGCUGCGGCGGCAGCAUCUCGGGGUGGUCCCGGCGCGCCCGCCCCCCGCUCAGCCAGACACGCGCCGCGGGCUGUGGGGCGGGCGCCGGGAGCGCGCCUUCGGCGCCUGCAGCCCCAGCUCCCGGCUCGGCCCUUCGGGACGCGCCCCACCUGCCCGGCCGCCCUCCGCGCUCCCGGUCGGACACCGCCGCCAGGCGCUCGGCUCCGAGCGGGAGCUUUUUGUGUCACCGCCCAGACUAAGGCACCGAAGGGGGUGGGGGCGGGAGGCCGGGCUCCGCUCCCCGCGGCACCGCCCCUCCCCGGCGGCUCCACCUCCUCCAGCCCUCCCGCCUGCGCUGGUCUGGGACGUCGGUCUGUCUGUCCGGAAUCGCAAACCACCCCCGGGGUGAGGAGCUGCCCACCCUCCCUCGCGUGCUCCCUCGGCCUCGCCCCCCCCCCAAGGGUCCAACCUCAGCCGGGACCUUGAGGUUGUCUUUCCCACGGCGCGCGAGCGGGACCUGAACUGGAAUCAG
rnacentral:lncRNA from 1 species